rnacentral:rRNA from 1 species
UACAGAGGUCUCAAGCGUUGUUCGGAUUCAUUGGGCGUAAAGAGCGCGCAGGCGGCUUGGUAAGUCGGAUGUGAAAUCCCGAGGCUCAACCUCGGGUCUGCAUCCGAUACUGCCCGGCUAGAGGUAGGUAGGGGAGAUCGGAAUUCCAGGUGUAGCGGUGAAAUGCGUAGAUAUCUGGAGGAAUACCGGUGGCGAAGGCGGCAUCCUGGACCGACAUUGACGCUGAACGGCGAAAGCUAGGGGAGCAAACGGG